AGCAGGAAGCGCUCGGAGGAGGAACGCACACUGCGCUGUGUGAAGGAUCAGCUGUUUCUGUAGACAAUUUAUCUACAGAAUGGAAACCUCUCUUCCAGUAUUGGUCUUCAAUUUUCCAAGAGCGUGCAGCGUAAGAUACUGCACUGAAGUUCUCCAAAGCUGGCUCUACUAUCCUCAUGUUUCAGUCAUUACUGGGAAAACAGGAGUCCAUCUCCACAGAAUACCUAGCAAGAGCACAGCUUUGGGGAGCUCACUGUGAAUUCCCUUCUGAGCCACUCGCCUCCCUACCAGCAUUACGGCAGGAUCCUGAUGGAAACUGUGGCAUUUGUGGAGAUGGAUGUGUCACAUACGACUACUGGUUCCUCUUAUACUAUACGAGAGGAAACCAGCACCUUUUUUUUUCCAGGGAGAUAAAUGCUGCCCUAGAUGCUUUUGAGAUUUCCAAACACUUGAGCACAGAAGCAUUUAGAGCACCUCUCAGGCCUGCAAUGCAACUCUCCACAGAAAUAUCUGAACUAGCGGCAAAGAAAACACCCUGCAGACCUGAAAGUGCAAUGGUGUUGCCACACCAGUGUUGGCAGGAGUCUGUUUGCGCUGACUCAAGGAUGGCAUCUUCUUAAUCUGGGCCAUGAGAUAGAUUACGUAGCCAUGAGACAGCUCUUCCACAGCACUGCGCUUGCAAAUGGGUCUGCUCCCUGGUGAGUUAUUGGGGUGACACAGCAGUGCACCACACAGUGCUAUGCAGACCAUUGCAGGUGGUUAUGGGAGGGCAUGGGUUGGUGGUGGGUCUUGGUAGGUCAGGUGGGUGGUUGGACUUUGUGAUCUUGAUGGUGCUUUCCAAGUCAAUGAUUCUAUGAUGCUGUAUUAUUCAACUAUUGUCCAUCCGUGCUGCCGUACUACAGAACUGCUGGAGGUGUUCAGGCACGUGGACAUGCCUGGCUCCUGCCGGUUGCCUGGGCUUUGGAUGAAUCGAGCUGCUCUCCUUGUACUUGUCUGUACAGUGUCAUGAAAUGCUGUUUUAAACCAUCAUGUGUACAAUAUGAUCUUUUCAGCCUCGGAUAAUGGGAAAAUUGCUAAAUCUGCACUUUCUACCCC
rnacentral:lncRNA from 1 species